rnacentral:rRNA from 1 species
UACGGAGGGUGCAAGCGUUAAUCGGAAUUACUGGGCGUAAAGCGCACGCAGGCGGUCUGUCAAGUCGGAUGUGAAAUCCCCGGGCUCAACCUGGGAACUGCAUCCGAAACUGGCAGGCUAGAGUCUUGUAGAGGGGGGUAGAAUUCCAGGUGUAGCGGUGAAAUGCGUAGAGAUCUGGAGGAAUACCGGUGGCGAAGGCGGCCCCCUGGACAAAGACUGACGCUCAGGUGCGAAAGCGUGGAGAGCAAACAGGAUUAGAUACCCUGGUAGUCCACGCCGUAAACGAUGUCGACUUGGAGGUGGUGCCCUUGAGGCGUGGGUGCCGGAGCUAACGCGUUAAGUAGACCGCCUGGGGAGUACGGCCGCAAGGUUAAA